GGAAACAAAAAAAUAAAAUAAAAGAAGAAACAGAAAAAAGAAAAAGGAAAAAAAAAGAAAAAAAACAGGAAACAGAAAAAAGAAAAAAAGAAAAAUAAAAGAAGAAACAGGAAAAAGAAAAAGGAAACAAAAACAAAAAGAAAACAUGAAACAGAAAAAAGGAAAAAAGAAAAAUAAAAGAAGAAACAGGAAAAAGAAAAAGGAAACAAAAAGAAAAAGAAAACAGGAAACAGAAAAAAAAAA
rnacentral:lncRNA from 1 species